GCACAUUGCACGUCUUGACUUUUUUUGGCGUGCUCAUGUGCAGCGGUGACCACCCCGUGCGUUCCUCCCUGCCGGCACGGCGCCACCUGUAGUCCUCACAAUACCUGCACCUGUCCCGAGGGCACUACGGGCCUGCGCUGUGAGAGACUGACAUGCCCUGUGGUCACCACCGUGGUCAGCAUGGCUCGGGCGGUGAGAAAAGCUUUUAAGGAAAGUUACGUUGACCGUUGCGGACCUUUGGGGAUUCAGCUUUGCACCAAAUACAGGAUGAACCAGGCACGUGUGUACCUGCAAGCCUACAGGGUGGGCUACAAAAUCCAAUGCCCGGAGAGGAAAGGCAGAUGAUGAACUGUUUGGAAUAAACAUUCCAGAAAGUACAUUUCAGUCAGUGCUGAAACAAGCAACUGCUGCGAUCACGACAAUUCGCCCAAAUGUUGAAAUUUGGCAAGAUAUGGGUUAAGAUUACUGUACAAGCCAAAGUGACGACUUUUUUUUUCAAUUUCACAUGGUGUUGUUUUCCUUAAAAGUAAACUGCACAAUGGACUCUGUUGUAAUUUUUUUUAUGGUGGAUUAAAGGUUCUUUUUUUUA